GUUGUAUGGUUAAGUGACUAAGCGUACACGGUGGAUGCCUUGGCAGUCAGAGGCGAUGAAAGACGUAGUAACUUGCGAUAAGCCCAGAUUAGGUAGUAACAACCAUUUGAGUCUGGGAUUUCUGAAUGGGGAAACCCACGUGCAUAAGCACGUAUCCUUACCUGAAUACAUAGGGUAAGGAGGCGAACCGGGGGAACUGAAACAUCUAAGUACCCCGAGGAAAAGAAAUCAACCGAGAUUCCGAAAGUAGCGGCGAGCGAAAUUGGACUAGCCCUUAAGCUUUACACGCGUUAGACGAACGGUCUGGAAAGUCCGACGAUACAGGGUGAUAGUCCCGUAGUUGACGACGUGUGUUCAGUGAAAUCGAGUAGGGCGGGACACGUGAUAUCCUGUCUGAAUAUGGGGGGACCAUCCUCCAAGGCUAAAUACUACUGACUGACCGAUAGUGAACCAGUACCGUGAGGGAAAGGCGAAAAGAACCCCUGUGAGGGGAGUGAAAUAGAACCUGAAACCGUGUACGUACAAGCAGUAGGAGCAGGCUUUGUCCUGUGACUGCGUACCUUUUGUAUAAUGGGUCAGCGACUUAUAUUCAGUGGCAAGGUUAACCAUCUAGGGGAGCCGUAGGGAAACCGAGUCUUAACUGGGCGUUCAGUCUCUGGAUAUAGACCCGAAACCAGGUGAUCUAGCCAUGGGCAGGUUGAAGGUUGAGUAACAUCAACUGGAGGACCGAACCGACUAAUGUUGAAAAAUUAGCGGAUGACUUGUGGCUAGGGGUGAAAGGCCAAUCAAACCUGGAGAUAGCUGGUUCUCCCCGAAAGCUAUUUAGGUAGCGCCUCGGACGAAUACUACUGGGGGUAGAGCACUGUUAAGGCUAGGGGGUCAUCCCGACUUACCAACCCUUUGCAAACUCCGAAUACCAGUAAGUACUAUCCGGGAGACACACGGCGGGUGCUAACGUCCGUCGUGGAGAGGGAAACAACCCAGACCGCCAGCUAAGGUCCCAAAUUACUACUAAGUGGGAAACGAUGUGGGAAGGCUCAGACAGCCAGGAUGUUGGCUUAGAAGCAGCCAUCAUUUAAAGAAAGCGUAAUAGCUCACUGGUCGAGUCGGCCUGCGCGGAAGAUGUAACGGGGCUAAGUAGUAAACCGAAGCUGCGGCAAUAUACUUUUGUAUAUUGGGUAGGGGAGCGUUCUGUAAGCGGUUGAAGGUGUGUGGUAACGCAUGCUGGACGUAUCAGAAGUGCGAAUGCUGACAUGAGUAACGAUAAAGGGGGUGAAAAACCUCCUCGCCGGAAGACCAAGGGUUCCUGUCCAACGUUAAUCGGGGCAGGGUAAGUCGACCCCUAAGGCGAGGCCGAAAGGCGUAGUCGAUGGGAAACGGGUUAAUAUUCCCGUACUUCUUACAAUUGCGAUGGGGGGACGGAGAAGGCUAGGUGGGCCUGGCGACGGUUGUCCAGGUUCAAGUGCGUAGGCUUAAGAGUUAGGUAAAUCCGGCUCUUUCUAAGGCUGAGACACGACGUCGAGCACCUACGGGUGUGAAGUCAUUGAUGCCAUGCUUCCAGGAAAAGCCUCUAAGCUUCAGAUUGUAAGGAAUCGUACCCCAAACCGACACAGGUGGUCGGGUAGAGAAUACCAAGGCGCUUGAGAGAAC
rnacentral:rRNA from 1 species